rnacentral:rRNA from 1 species
GACGAACGCUGGCGGCGUGCUUAACACAUGCAAGUCGAACGAAGUGGCGAACGGGUGAGUAACGUGUAAUCAACCUGCCCUUCAGAGGGGGACAACAGUUGGAAACGACUGCUAAUACCGCAUACUGAAGGGGGGGAGUGCGUCUGAUUCGCUAGUUGGAGGGGUAACGGCCCACCAAGGCGAUGAGCAGUAGCCGGUCUGAGGGGAUGAACGGCCACAUGCGGACGGAGCCACCGCCCAGACUCCUACCGGAGGCAGCAGUAGGGAAUAUUGCGCAAUGGGGGAAACCCUGACGCAUCAUCGCCGCGUGGAGGAUGACACUUUUCGGAGCGUAAACUCCUUUUGUUAGGGAAGCGGUACCUAACGAAUAAGCACCGGCUAACUCCGUGCCAGCAGCCGCGGUAAUUC